rnacentral:tRNA from 2 species
CCUUCGAUAGCUCAGUUGGUAGAGCGGUGGACUGUAGGAGCGAUGUUGAAAAAUCAAUAGUAAUCCAUAGGUCACUGGUUCAAAUCCGGUUCGAAGGA